UACGUAGGUGGCAAGCGUUGUCCGGAUUGACUGGGCGUAAAGCGCACGCAGGCGGAUGCGCGCGUGGGGUGUGAAAUCUGGCCGCUUAACGGCCAGGCGCCAUCCCAUACGGCGCGUCUGGAGCCUUGCAGAGGUCGGUGGAGUUGCCGGUGUAGUGGUGAAAUGCGUAGAGAUCGGCAGGAACACCCAGGGGGAAACCAGCCGACUGGGCAAGUGCUGACGCUGAGGUGCGAGAGCGUGGGGAGCGAACCGG
rnacentral:rRNA from 1 species